rnacentral:rRNA from 1 species
UGGGGAAUAUUGGACAAUGGGCGAAAGCCUGAUCCAGCCAUGCCGCGUGUGUGAAGAAGGUCUUCGGAUUGUAAAGCACUUUAAGUUGGGAGGAAGGGCAUUAACCUAAUACGUUAGUGUUUUGACGUUACCGACAGAAUAAGCACCGGCUAACUCUGUGCCAGCAGCCGCGGCAAUACAGAGGGUGCAAGCGUUAAUCGGAAUUACUGGGCGUAAAGCGCGCGUAGGUGGUUUGUUAAAUUGGAUGUGAAAUCCCCGGGCUCAACCUGGGAACUGCAUUCAAAACUGACUGACUAGAGUAUGGUAGAGGGUGGUGGAAUUUCCUGUGUAGCGGUGAAAUGCGUAGAUAUAGGAAGGAACACCAGUGGCGAAGGCGACCACCUGGACUAAUACUGACACUGAGGUGCGAAAGCGUGGGGAGCAAACA